rnacentral:lncRNA from 1 species
AGUGUUGUUGUUGGUGAGGUGGUUGAUAACUUUGUGGGUGUUUACCAAGUCCGUCGCCAAACGCCGGAGCUUCAGUGAAUCCAUGCCCAGGGAAACAAGGCGCUCAGAAUAUGGUAGGUGUCUGAUGGAGGGUAUGCGUUUGGUUGCACGUCUCUGGACAGAUUCCAGGAGGUCAAUGUUCUGUGCAAGAUAGGGGUUCCAAACUGAUGAUGCGAAUUCCAAGUGUGGUCGUACCAUAGCUGUAUACAGUUUUAAAUAGAUGGCUGGAGAGCGGCUAACAAAAGACCUGCUGAGUGAUGCCAAGACACCCUCGGCCUUCCUGACAAUCUUAGAGAUAUGCUUUGACCAACGCAAAUCACUGCUGACAGUGAUGCCUAGGUCACGCUCGCAAGAGGAUUUCUUGAUAUCAGUGUUGUGGAGGGAGUAUGUGAACGCAGGGUUUUUUCUCCCAAAAUGCAUGGUGGUACACUUGUCCACAGCCAGUUUCAGUUGCCAGUCUGUGAUCCAUUGCUGCAUUGUGUCUAGGUCUGAUUGCAGGAAAGAGUUGUAGACAUCAGGAUCUGUCCUCUUGAUUUCAAGGUACAGCUUGAUGUCGUCUGCAUAUUUCAAUACUGUGGCAUUCUUUAAAUUGGCAUCUAUGUCGUUAAUGUAUGCCACAAACAAGAGGGGGCCAAGGACAGAUCCCUGUGGUACACCCGAUGACAUCUCAUAUGGUGUAGAGUGCUGUCCUAGAACUGUGACUACCUCCUUUCGGCUGAGGAUGAAGGAUUUCAACCAGUUAAAAAGGUCAUCCCCCACACCCAUUGCAGAGAGUUGAUAUCUUUAUAUAUAAAAGUAAGGUUGUGUGUCUGUCUCCUACGAUUUAGAUUCCUAACUACUCCCACAUUUUGCGGUGCAGUUUAACCAAAACCGGGUAUCUUAUAGUCGUGAUUCAUAUCAAGCCCUUCUGGGUAUUAGCGCUCGUCUACGAUGAGUCUACAAUUUAAAAAAAUUUACCAUCAUUUUUUCCAUUUUAAUGCAUUUUUUCGCUAUUAUAUAAGGGAAGUAACUCUCUAAAAAUGUCUACGAUGAGUCAACGAUUUAAAAAAAUUUACCAUCAUUUUUUUUUUCCAUUUUUAAUGCAUUUUUUUGCUAUUUUUUGGCUAUAACUCUCUAAAAAUGCUUAUAUAGUUAUUUCCCUUACAAACCCGAGCAACGCCGGGCGAUACUGCUAGUAACAUAUAUGCUAAUUCUAAUCUUACUUCCACUUUCAAUUUUCUUUAUUUGUAUGAAUAAUUAUUUUACGAAGUUACUUAUCUUUUAAGCAUCCCAAUUUUCCUCUUAAUUCAUAAAUAUUAAACUGCAUUAAUGAUGUCACAAAAGUUUGAAAUUAAUUCCUGAUUAAGAAUCAUGUUAACAAUAUUUAUGAAAAUAGUUUGAAAUUAAUUCCUGAUUGAGAAUCAUGUUAACAAUAUUUAUGAAAAUAAUUUUAAAUAUUUAAUAACAUAGUUUGAAAAUAUCAGGAUAUAAUGAGCGAAUCCAUGACUAGAAAAUGCGUAUUUAAUUAAUGAUAAUGAAGCUAAGCUGUUAACAAGAUGAAUAUUUUCAUCCAAAUUCACAUUCAAGCCUGGAAUACAUUCAGCUUUUGUAUUAUCUAAUGAUUACAGUUAAACACAAACUACUAAAGGAGGAAAAUGAUUUUUUUAUUCAUUUAUUUAAACAAUACUUAAAUAAGGUAGAUUUGAGUAGGAAGUUCAAAAAGAUGAGUUUUUUUUCAUAGUGUUUUUGUUAUCUACUUUAUUAAAUAUUCCAACAUUAUCUUAUGAUACGAUAAUUAUUUCAUUAUUAUUAUUAUUCAAAAAAAAUUUAAUCAACUUCAGGAAAUAUUUCAUAUUAUACAAGUUAUAUAUUUAAUUUGUCAAAGAGGACGGGAGAGUAACUAUGACUUUUAAAGGCCAUUCAUUCAUCCAAGAAUAGUGGGAUUCCUGUAGUCAGUAUUUGAACUUUUGUAGAUCAAUGUAUACCUGAAAAAUUUAGGCAAAUGCUUGGUGGGGAGAAAUUUCAGAGGAUUGCAAUUCUUGGAGAAAGGAUUAAGGAAGUAUUUAAAGUGGAAACUGGGAGUUGAGAUGCAGUAUGAUUGAUAAGAAAAGGAAAUCUUCUAUAGGAUUGGGUAGAAGUGAUUUAUUGCUAAGUAAUUCAGAGGGAUGGAAACCAUUGCAGCAACAGUUGAAAACAAAAAAGGGAGAGGAAACAGCAUAACGUUUGUAGAAUGUUGGCGAGUGAAUAUUUGCCUUGUUUUAAAUACAGUGUUAAAUACAAUGUUUCAUCAUCACCUGAUUUAACAUCCCCACCUUGCUCUCAAUUGCUUUUAGAAGAGCCCUCUCUCAUUUAGGCUAGCUCUCCAAUCUCUGGUCUAAGGAUAACUUCUCCCACUUGCUUUGAGUGUCUUCAAAAAAAGUCAUGGGUACUGACUUGCCUCCUUUUAUUAAUCAUUAAAUAAAUAAAACUGGAAGUCAAACUGUUUCUAAUUAGGUUGGCUCUAGAAAGUAAGAAUCAGCAUACGGAGCUCCUUGUUUUGCUUAUUGUAGAAUAAAGCCCUUUAUUUUUUUUACUUAUAAGCAUUGACUUUCUGACAUGAAGAUCUGAAUCAGCUAAUAAAUUGAGAAUUAAUGAUGCAAGAGUUAUCCUUGAGAUGAAGGUUCUAAAAGAUGAAAGCUUUAUAUGAAAAUGAUAUGAAAUUGAUGUCUGCUUUGCCUAAAUACUAAAAUAAAAAAAGUGGGGAUAAUGAAUUGGAAUUAAUGAUAAAAUCUGUUACAAAAGUGAGAUAUCAGGUUCACCAUGUUAGCAAAUUGGUGUUUUAACUCUAUCAUAACCAAAAUUUUCAUAUGCAGAUGGAUAGUGGUGGUUUUAUAUUUAGAAAUCUGAAGAUUAAUCUUAUUUAUUCAGUUUUUAUAGAAGAAAAAUAAAAUUUUAAUACUUCUAAACUAAGCUAUAGUAUUUGAUAACAAUAUUGAGAAAAAUAAUGAUUACAAAAAUAUUUCACUUCAUAAUCAUAAGCUUUGUAAAGAGCAGCUGCAAUUUCAAACUCUUGAAAUUCUUCAAAGAAAGAAAGAAACUAUGUUUUCAAAACUAUCUACUUGACUAAUUUCUAAGCUUGAUUUAUAAAAUGUAUUAAAUACUUGCUGGAAAGUUCAUAUUAACUUAAUUGAAAACCUACUUGCAGUGAGAUGGACAAUCAUAUUGUGUAGUGAUACCAAACUAUAAUAUAAUGGUACAGAAACUAAUGAAACUCAAAACCAACUUAUACAAAGUAAUAUAAAUUAUACUAAACAUGAUAUAAUGGUACCAUAACUGUAUCCCGAAAGUUUUCCAUUUACGUUGUUAAGCUUUGUUACUGAUAACCACUCAAGAAUUACUCAAAUUUCAAGACCUACCUAUAAAAUGUCCAGUUUAUAAAGAAGUACUUAAAAAUAAAUUCAAAGUUUCAGUAGUUGUAUACUGGAAAACUGAAGUGAAAUAAUCUAAGGAACUUAUCAAUUUUACUUUUUAAAAUAUUUCAGGCCUUUUUGCAGUUUUUUUUUUUUUUUUUUAUCAGUUGUGGUUGGACCACACCUGAUGGUGUCUUGCUAACUUUACAUCUCAUUCCUCAUUAUCACAACAGAUUGUUACCUUGAAGAUUUAUUCAGUUUGAAGCUCCAUAAGGUUUUCCAUCCCUUAUGAUUUAAUAUGUUUGGUCCUAUUGUAAUUUAUUGUAAUUAACACUAUAUCAUCUGAUGACUAGGAUGUUUAUAACAGAAUUCCCUCUGUUGCAAGCAUUCCAGUUUGGCUUUUGGUUUGGGGAUUACUUCCUCCCUCCAGCUUACUUAUUCCAGAGAUCCUGUAAAAGGCCUCAAUGUUUUCCCUUCUGACUAAAAGAUGUAACAAAAAAUUGCUUUUUUUCUUUUUUGCAAGUUGUGUGGAAUAAUGUUUACAUAAAUCUGUCUGUAUAUAUUAAUUCUUCCAACUGCAUUACUCAAACAUUUUGAUCUAAUCUUUGUUCUUCAAAAUAAGAUAGUAGCUGUGUAAUUUAAAGCUAACAAACUGUUUUAGUUAAUAUAAUAUGUAAAUUAAAAUUAUCAAAGUGGAUAUUAUAUAUAUACAAAUACAUCACUUUUAUAUUGAAGUUUAAAAGUGGGAAGGGCAAUUCUAUAGCAUCCACACUUAUGUCAGUCUCAACCUCUCCCAUUCUUGAAAUAUGAUCAAUGAGAAGGACCCACAAGGGGGUUGCAUUAAUUUCUUGAAAAAAUACAAACAACAAAAUUUGCCUCAAAUUACACCCUGACAUUAUGAAAAAUAAAAGUUAUUUGGAUAAUGUGUUACUAAAUAAGCUAUAAUCAAAAAGACUUGCUUAGUUGAUUACUUUUUCAAAUUCUCUCAUUAGAGCUGAACAGAAUUUAAAAAACAAGACACUUCAGCUUCUAUUAGAUUUCAUAUUAUAUUUCAUUUUUCACAUGCGUGGCAUGGAGGGAGAGGGGAACAAAUUACUGUAUAUGAUUAUGUUGAACAGAUAAUCAAUAGCUUUUAGAAUUAUUAUUUUCUUCCAAAGUCCCAAUAGCAAUUUAGAACCCAUAUGCAUUAUAGAUUCCUGAUACUAUGACUACUGGCAUCGGCUGGUAAAUGGUAAAGCAAUUGUGAGAAAUUUACUGUUUAUAUAUCUUGUUUAAUAUUGGUAGCUAAGAGUUAAAGGGACAUAACUAUAUUUUAACUCAAAAAUACAAAAUUAACUGCCACUUGUUUUCUUUUAUAAUUGAGAUAUAUUACUUUCCCAUUUUGGAUACAAAAUGUACAACAUGGACUUAAAUGCACACAUACUUUCGGUCACACACACACACACACACACACACGCAAAACAAAAUAUGAUUUCUUAUGUGUCCUUGCCAACUAUUCAUUGCAAAUAAGUAACUUCUUGAUGGUAAUUAAAAAUUUCUUUAUAAUCAGUUUUUAUUUUAUUUAUGUAUUUAUGUAAAUUAUUGUUUAGCUAAGGAUAUAUGAAGAAUAAUUUUGGAAUAAAUGAAAUAAUGUUAUCUAUGUUACUAGAAUUGACUAUAUAUAUAUAUAUUGGGUAGGACUAUAUGUGUAUACUUAUUGGAUAUUUAUUUACAUGUAAUACAUACACUUAUACACACACACACAUACAUGUAUGCAUGUGUAUGUAUACAAAUAUGACACUGCAUCCUUUAAGGCCCUCAUGCUUUCUGUAAUCCGCCGAAACUACACCUGAUUAUACAUACACUUUAGAUGAGUUGUAGUGCACCUGAGCACUGUACACAAUGUUUUUAUUAUUAUUAUUAUUAUUAUUAUUAUUAUUAUUAUUAUUAUUAUUAUUAUAUGCAUGUACGCAAUUUUCUACAUACUUGUUUCAUUCAAUUUUAUGCCAAAUUUUCCAUGUUGGCACAGGCUAGACAAAUAUAUUAUGGAGAAAUUAUUUUACAGCUAGAUGUUCUUGAUUCCUUUAACUAAUAUUUACAUGCUUUUCAAGUAAGGGAUCUUUUAUUCCACAUAUCUUUGGAAACUUUAUGCCAGCGAACACACCAUUGAAAAGAAAAGGAAACACACACACACACACACACACACACAUAGACAUAUGUUUCUCUAUGGGUGUGUGUAUAUGCAGAAGGUAUAGAAAGGAAUUACGUAUAAAAUAAGUUAUAUGAGGGUAUAUGCAGUGUGUUAUGUAUCAUAUAUUUUUCAUAUAUACAUACUGAUAUAUUGUGUGUAUGUGUGUGUGUGCAUGCAAAUAUAUAUUUUUUUUCUGUGCUUUCUAUACUUUUCCAUGACAGAAUAGCUGAAAUUAUGAUGCUAGAUAUUACUCAUUCUUGCAUAUCAACACGUCUCUACAGCAGAUCAUUGCUAUGUACUUCCAUAUAAAAAAAAAAACCCAACAAAUAAUGUUAAUAGUAAUGAUAAAAAUAAUAAAGUAAUGUAGCUUACUUUGGUUUACUGUGCCUCACUUUGCUCCUACUUUAUGAUUGAGUGGUUUGUAAAAUGAAGGGGUUAUCCAGAUGUGAAAUAAGAAUGCUUUAUCUUUAUGUCAUCUUGGACAUCACAUACAAAUGGAAUAACAUACUGUUGCCUUUUCUUUUUUGAUUUUUUCCUUCUGCACUUGCAUGCUAGCAUGAGUCAAAAGGUUAUGAAUAUAUAGGCGCAGGAGUGGCUGUGUGGUAAGUAGCUUGUUUACCAACCACACAGUUCCGGGUUCAGUCCCACUGCACGGCAUCUUGACAAGUGUCUUCUGCUAUAGCCCCGGGCUGACCAAUGCCUUGUGAGUGGAUUUGGUAGACGGAAACUGAAAGAAGCCUGUUGUAUAUAUGUAUAUAAAUAUAUAUAUGUAUGUGUGUGUGUGUUUGUGUGUCUGUGUUUGUCCCCCUAGCAUUGCUUGACAGCCGAUGCUGGUGUGUUUACGUCCCCAUCACUUAGCGGUUCGGCCAAAGAGACCGAUAGAAUAAGUACUGGGCUUACAAAGAAUAAGUCCUGGGGUCGAUUUGCUCGACUAAAGGCGGUGCUCCAGCAUGGCCACAGUCAAAUGACUGAAACCAGUAAAAGAGUAAAAGAGUAAUGAUAUUAGGUCUUUUACAUGAGCUGAUCAGCCAGAAUGGCCAUCUUAAAAAAUAUUCCGUUAAAAGUUUAACAAACAUGGAUUUAGACUAAUGGUGGGUUGGAGGACUGUACUGGGUUACUUGAUCAACUAGAAAUAAUAACAAAAUCUCACUCAAAUCACAUCCUACUGCCUUUAAGAAAGAAAAGAAUACACUGGAUAAUGUAGUUUGGAUAUUUCUAAAAUUACAAUGUAGGCACAGGCAUUCUUGUCCUGAUUGCUAAACAACAACUAAAGUAUUAUGUCUCAUAAUUAAUUGUAUGUAUGCAUGUGUGUGCAUAUAUAUGCACACACACACACAUAUAUAUAUAUAUAUAUAUAUAUAUAUAUAUAUAUACACACACUCACAUACAUAUAUUGUAAAGUUCUAGUCAACAACAUGAACUUUGUAAUAAAUUUGAUAUUACACUUAACAUUGAGUCAUCUUAUCAAUAUGUAUCUAUAUAUCUAUAUCAAAAUAAGCAACACGGAGUCAUUCUUGUUGCUUAUUUUGAUUAUAAUCACCCCACGGAUUUUUAUGGAUAACACCAUACAAAAUUCUGGUGCAUCUAAAUUAAGUACCAUAUUCAUUUGAAUCUAAAUUAAGUACCAUAUUCAUUUGAAUCUAAAUUUUUGCUGAACCUAUAUAUAUAUACAUCUAUAUAUAUAUAUAUAUAUAUAUAUAUAUAUAUAUAUGUGUGUGUGUGUGUGUGUAUGUAUGUAUACAUAUAUUUAUAUAUCUUUGUGUAUAUAUAAGUAUGUGUACAUGUAUGUAUAUAUAUAUGUAUGUAUGUCACACACACACACACACACACACACACACACACACACAUAUAUGCAUGCACACACACACUUACACAUAGAUGUACAUAUGUACCUAUAAUUGACAGUAACUGAUGAUAUACCUUAUAUAUAUAUAUAUAUAUAUAAAUAUUUAUUUAUUAAUGUUUAUUUAUUAAUAUUUAAUAGUUAUCAGAAGUAACCAACUUACUCAAGGUCCAAGAGUUUUGUGCGUUGGCACUUGGCACGAAGCUCUCAGACCUUGAGUCAGCCUCUUACUUCUGCUAAAUACUAAAUAUCAAUAGAGAUAUACAUAUACUCAUAUUUUAAGUUCUAGAUUUCCUGUUUGCACCAACUUACCUGUGUAUAUAUAUAUAUAAUAUAUUAAUAAAUAAAACAUAUGCAUGUAUAUAUACAUAUAUGUACGUACCUACCUCUACAUGUAUAUAUACAUGCAUAUAUGAAGGACACCAAAAAAACAUCGUACACAAUGAGAAACGAAAUCAUAGACACAAACCCAAGGAACUGGACAUUUUUCUUAAACAACAAAAAAAUAGUGUACAGGACAAAUAACACAAGGAAAAAACCCCUUCUUCAGUCGCCAUGGUUUCAUCUACUCUACGUUUCGAAGGUGACAACUGCUAUUGUGCUGGAUCUCUGAGCAAGAUGCUUUAUUCCACUGGUGUGUUUGUUCAAAAAGUCAAAUAAACAACUAAAAUACAGGUUCCACUCCACUCUAUCUUAUUCAUUUGAGUAGUUAGCAAGGGCAUCCAUGCAGUUGUACAAAUAAUUGGUAUAACAAAAACAAGAAUGAAAAAAAAAAAAAAUACUAAUUAUUUCUGAAAUGUGUUAUGUCAUCCAAUGUAAGGUCUAAUGAAUUUCUUUAUGUGAAGAAAAAUAUAUUUCUAUAGCUGAACUUCAUUUCCUGUUAUAGAAACACAAAUCUCUCCUGCAUGUUCUUAAUAUCUUCCAAGUUCUUAUGAGUUAUAAGAUUCUUGACACAAUAUAAGCAAUUACUUUCCCUAUCAAAGAUUUCCAACUAACCAAAUACUAUUUCUUACUCUUUGUUGUAUUAGCACUUUCAGUGAUAGAAUUUUUCUAUUUAUCCUCUUUGUCAAUGAUAUAUAACUUGUCAAGUAGAUUUCCAAUAAUCAUUUCUGUUCCAUAAAACCUAUAAGAUUAGCUUUUCCCAACACUCUCUUUCUGUCUGUCUGUCUGUCUCUCUCUCUCUCUCUCUAUAUAUAUAUAUAUAUAUAAAAAUAAGAAAAUGUACCUUCUCUCAAUUGUGUGGCUUCUUUCUAUCUCCUCAAGGUUUAGUUUGAGAUUGUGUAAAAUGGAUUUAUUUUUGUCUAUUAUUUGCUGUAAGUGAAAAUAAAUAUAAAAUAAUCAUAGAAAGAUGAAACUCUAUUUACCACUUACAUUUUCAUUUGUGAUUUUAAUACCAUAUUUUUCAGUGAUAUGGUUUCAUUUUCCAUACUAAAACUAACAAUUUUGAUAAACAUUAUUAUUCUUCAAUAUUUAUGUUUGGAAAUAUUAGCUUCAUACUUUGUCAUAAGUUCAAAUUCUGCUACGUCAGGUUUUAUUUAUCACUUAGUCUGCUUUAUUCAAUUUAUAGGAAAGUAUACAGUAUGCAGAGUUAAAUGGUGGGUUUUAUUCAAAUUUUCUCUGUUUUAAAACUUUUGGAUUAACAUUCAUAUUAUUAUUGUUAUCCUUGUCAUCUUCAUCUUUGCCUCUGCCAUCAUCUUUAUUGUUGUUGCUUAGUCCCAAGACAAACCCUCAGGAAAGCCAUAAUUUUCCCAGCUGUUUUUGUAUUAUUUUUUGCUUUUUAGUAAUGGCAUAUCAUGGAUGACAUAUCAUUUAUCCCAUUUUUUUUCUUCUUAAGAUGGCAGAAUGUGGUUUUAAGGGAAUUAGUUGUUAUUUUAGUAAAUCAAAUAAUCAUGGAUUGGCUUUCUUAUGGGUGCAAACAUUUGUGUGUUCAUAUGUGAAGCAAAUAAUUAAGUCUAUAAUUGAGUUUCAGUUUUGUUUGGCAAAAAAGUGACAGCUUCAUUCAUAAGCAUUCACACGAAAAAAUAUAUAAUCUCACCUUGUCAUUCAUUUCCAUAUCCACAAAUAUAUAGGUUGUGUUUUGUAGCUAUUUUACUUGUGCUCAUGUGGUUGUUUUACACAUAACACAACAGUACCCUCUACAGUAUGCAAAUACAAUAUGAUUGCUAUCAUUGAAAGGGAAUAUGAAAGUAUUUUAAACAGUAUGACUAUUCAUCUUUAACCUUCCCUAAGGAUUAAUCAUGUAUGUGUUUCUGAGAAAAAAGUUUUGUACCUGAUGGUUUCAUUACAUACCUUUUUGUGGCAGGUUUCAUGUCAGUGUCAACUUGGAAUUUCAUCCUUCUGGAAACUAACUAUAAAAUAGCUAUGAUAUGGUUUGGAGUCAGGUAACCAACUAAAAGAUUCCUAGCAUUCUUGCAUCCUUUCCUCUUUAAGCUGGCACUGGAGUCUAUGACUGUUUUCUAUACCAACAUUAUACUGAGGAUGCUGAAGGGAAACUCUGAGAUCUACAUAUGACACAUUUUUAACUGAAAACCCUGGAUCUAGCUUGGACCAUGGCACAAAAGGACAAUUUGAUUUUGCUUUCUUAGAUUGCUAAAAAUAAUAUUAAUGGUGAUAGCAAUAAUCAGUUGUAACUUUGGUAAAAGUCCAUGCAUUCUGAAAGAGAGAAUAAUUUAUUCUGUCAACCCUAGUAUUUGACUAAUACUUAAUUUUAUUGGCUUUAGGAAUUAAAAUCAAAAUGUAAAGAAUAAAGAACAAAGCUAAAUAUGGCAAUGCAUUUUCUGUAAUACUCUACUAAUUCUGAUGCUUUUCUAUUUAUAAUAAUAAUAAUAAUAAUAAUAAUGAUGAUGAUGAUUUCUACUAUUGACACAAGGCCUGAAUUUUGGGGGAAGGGGAUAGUUGAUAAUAUUGACUCCAAUGCACAACUGAUACUUAUUUCAUAACCCCACAAAGGAUGAAAAACAAAGUCAACCUCAGUGGAAUCUGAACUCAGAACAUAAUAAAUAAUGAGGAUGAUAAUUGUUUCUAUUAUAGGCACAAGGUCUGAGAUUAAGAGGAGAGGUUUAGUCAAUUAAAUGAACUCCGGUACAUGAUUGGUACUUUAUUGAGGAUAUGAAAGGUAAAGGUGAUGCUUGCAGGAUUUGAACUCAGAUAGAAAAACCAUACGUAUAUAUAUAUAUAUAUAUAUAUAUAUAUAUAUAUAUAUGUAUAUAUAUAUAUGUAUGUAUAGUUAUGUGUAUGUAUAUAUUUAUAUGUAUGUGUACAUAUGUAGGUAUGUGUGUGCACAUAUGUGUGAGUAUAUGUAUGUAUAUGAGUGUGUGUAUAUAUAUAUGUAUAUAUGUGUGUAUAUGUAAACUCUCCCUAUAUAUAUAUAUGCAAAUAUGUAUGUAUAUAUGUAUGCAUAUAUAUGUAUAUAUAUGUAUGCAUAAAUGUAUAAAUACAUGUGUUUGUGUGUGUAUAAAUUAUAGACAAUGGUGAAUGUAAAUUUAGUGGUAUGGAUAUAUACAUAUAUAUAUAUAUAUAUAUAUAUAUAUAUAUAUAUAUAUAUAUAAAGAGAGAGAGAGAGAUGGAUACUUUUUCUCUUUCUUGGUGGAAAAUACUAAUUGAGACUUAACUUUUCAUUACUUAGCAACUAUAAAUAGUAUAAUAAAUACACAAAGAAGGAGGUAAAAAUAAUUCAGAUCACUUUUUGUUUCCAAUGUUUGUUAUUUAUUUUUUAUUUUUCUUCUUUUAUUUUUCAUUAUCUACAUACAUCUGUAUAUUUGCUGCAUAUAUCAAGAACAUAGAAGUGGUAUAGAAAGGGAGAGGGUGAGAGAGAGAGAGAGAGAAAGAGAGAGAGAGAGAGAGGGGAUUAACCCAAUCAAUAAUUGAGCACUUACAUUUGUUUCUAAUUGGGCUGUAUAAGUUGAUGCUUUAAUUGAUGUUUGUCUACUGUUUCAUGAAAACAACAACAACAGUAGCAGCUUGAACAACAAUAACUACUAUGAUGGUGAUAGCAAAAUCCCCGUGUCAUUGUAGCAGUCAUAAGUUUCUUAAAUAACAGUUAUUUCUGGAAGAGCUCAGCCGAGAAGAAGAGGGAGAGAGAGAGAGAGAGAGAGAGAGAGCAAAACAAAACAAAGCAAUUAAAUUACAGCAAAAAUAUAUAGUUAUUUUCUUUGUCAGACAAACAACAUAUACUACUAUUUACAUCUAUCUCUAUAUAGGUAUCUACCCAUCUAUGUACCUAUCUUCUCCGUUUAUCAAUUUACCUAUUUACCUCUCUUUCUCUCUCCCUCUCCCAUGUAUAGACACAUACAUACACACACACACUCACACACACAGUGUUCACGCUUUGUACAUCUGGAUGAACUUUGAAGUGGAAAUAUCUUAUAAAAAGACUUUAAACUCUCACACACUCACACAUGUAAACAUACAAAAUAAGAAUUAAAAAGAUGCUGUGGUAAGUGUUGCAUUUGUCUUUAACUACUUUCUAUUAUAAAUUAGCAUUUGUACAUUUUAUGUACUAAUGCAAUUUCUCUACAAUAAAUUAAUUGUAAAAUACAGUAUCAAUGAAAAUCCCUAAAUGAAUGCUGUAUUUUAUGAAAAUAAUUUCUUGAAUGAGUUUUAUGUGCACCAAAAUAUAUUACAUCUCUUAAUUUUGUAAUUGGGAAAAAAAGAAAAUGCUAAUUACUCCAAAAUUAUAAAGUCAAUGAUUUAUUAGUUUUUGGCAAUAGUUUUCAGAAAAUUAAACAUACAUUAUAGUAUUCAUUACAUUUAGAUUAUAUAUAAAUAUAUAUACGGAGUGGUUGGCGUUAGGAAGGGCAUCCAGCCGUAGAAACACUGCCAGAUCAGACUGGGCCUGAUGCAGCCUUCUGGCUUCACAGACCCCAGUUGAACCAUCCAACCCAUGCUAGCAUGGAAAGCGGAUGCUAAAUGAUGAUGAUGAUGAUGAUGAUGAUGAUAUAUAUAUAUAUAUAUAUAUAUAAACAACCCAGCCUAAAUUCUAACAUAAUUUGAUUUGCAUUUACACCAAAACUGAUACCUAUUUACUUUAAGGAAAUUGCCUUGCAAAAGAACUAGUCUACUGUACUAAGGUAAAUAUCAAAUUUAACCUCCAUAAUGGUUUAACCAACAAUUCUUUCAAAGGAAGAUUCAAUCAACCUAUGCAUACAUUUCAAAAUGUAAACAAAGCAAAAUGUGUGGUUAUCAAGUUAUAUUUGAACAUUAAAGUUCACUAAACUUCCUUUCAGAUAUCAACUACAAAAUUUUAUCUUUUACAAAAGCAAUUUUCCCAGCUAUGUAUCUUUGAAUCAUAUGAAAUAUUUCUCUUCCAUUUUCCAUUUCUAGUUCACUCUAGAAAAUUAUUCACUUCUUGUAGCCUUGGGAUUUAAAACUCUAAAAUACUUUAAACCUAUUAUAUUCUCUAAUCACUAAUAAUGUCCCUUAUAUUUUUCCACAGAACUUGCACAAUUUUCUCUAAAGUUUGAAUGACUUCUACAUUGUACCCUGUAUAUAUUGUACCCUAUAACAUUCUCUUUCUCCCCUUAUGUGUAGGAAUUAAACUUUCCCAACAUACACUUUAUCAUUAUAAAGAUCAAUACAGUUCACUGAAAAUCAGUGUUGAUCAUUUAUAAUUAGCACAUGAUUCUCAGAUGAUUUAUAUAUAUAUAUGCAGUCAUGCAUGCAUGUUUGUUUAUAUGCUGAUAUAUAUGUAUGUAUGUAUGUUCAAACACACACACACACAUAUAUAUAUGUAUAUAUAUAUAUAUAUAUAUAUAUAUAUAUAUGUGUGUGUGUGUGUGUGUGUGUGUGUGUGUGUGUGUGUGUUUAUAUGUGUAUAUAUAUAUAUAUAUAUGGGCAAAUCGAAAAUUAAAAAGAGCAAAUAAUAAAACAACAAAAGUCAAAAGGACUUACACAUGAUGGAGUGUAUUAGCUUGACAUUCAGUAUAAGAUGGAAAGCAGAGUGGGUGUAUAACGUUUUGGGGCUUGGCUCUUUGUCAGAAAGAGGAGAAACAAAAAGUCUAGAGAAGGAAGAAAUGGUCCAAGAAAAUUAUGUAUGGUUACAUGGCUGAAAUGACCAGAAGUGGAGAGAAAUAGAGAAAGUGGUUUUUAAGAUAGUGUGAAAAUGGCCAGUGUGUGUGUGUGUGUGAGAUAGUAUCUGUGUGUGUGCCAUUUGAUUUUAUGGUGAGAGGCAAGGGGAUGAGUGUGUGAGUGCGUAGGUGUUGGUGUGUGUAUGUAUGUGUUUAUGUGUGUGUAUGAGUGUGUGUGAGGGCAUGUGUAUAUGUGCAUAAGAAUGUAUGUGUGUGUGUAUGAAUGUGUGUGAGGGCAUGUGUUUGGGUGUGAGUGUGGGCAUGUGUGUGUGUAUAUAUAUCUACUGUGGAGGCACAAUGGCCCAGUGAUUAGGGCAGCGGACUCACGGUCAUAGGAUUGCGGUUUUGAUACCCAAAUCAGGUGUUGUAAGUGUUUAUUGAGCGAAAACACCUAAAAGCUCCACAAGGCUCUAGCAGAGGUGGGGGGCAAACCCUGCUGAAUUCUUUUACCACAAUUUUUUCUCACUCUUUCUCCCUGUUUCUGUUGUACCUGUAUUUUGAAGGGCCAUCCUUGUCAUACUCUGUGUCACACUGAAUCUCCUUGAGAACUGCAUUAAGGGUACGCUUGUCUGUGCAGUGCUCAGCCCCUUGCCCGUUAAUUUCACAAGCAGGCUGUUCCAUUGAUCAGAUUAACUGGAACCCUCGUUACCGUAACUGAUGGAGUACCAUGGCGAUAUAUCUACUAAUUUCAUUUGUGCAUUAACCUUGGAGCUUCCUUUAUUAAACCCAUCCAUGGGUAUUGGCUAUCAGAUACAAUUUUAAACAGAAAUGAAUAGUUUUAUUGAUUCCCAGCCACAUGGUCUGGGUCAGUCCCACUGCAUGGCACCCUGGGUAAGUUUCUUCUACUAUAACCUUGUGCUGACCAAAGACAUGUGAAUGGAUUUGGUAGACAGAAACUGAAAGAAGCCUGUCAUAUUUAUAUAUAUAUGUGUGUUUUUGUGUCUGUGCUUGUCCAACAACCAUCACUUGACAACUGAUCUUGGCGUGUUUACAUCCCUGUAAUUUAGCAGUUCAACAAAAGACGCCAAUAAAAUAAGUACUAGGCUUACAAAGAAUAAGUUCUGGGAUUGAUUUCUUCAACUAAAACCCUUUAAGGAGGUGUUCCUGCAUGGCUGCAGCCAAAUGAUUGGAAGAAGUAAAAGAAUAAAAGGAGGAAUACCUAGAGUUUAUAUUAUUAUUUACAACGAAAACGGAAUGAGCAAUUCAUUUAAUGAAAUAAAUUGCUCAGUCCAUUUCCCUUGUUUAUAUGUAUCAAGUCAAGAAUAUGGUAAAAAUGUUAGCACACUGGGCAAAAUGGUUAGUGGCAUUUUGUUUGUCUUUAGGCUCUGAGUUCAAAUUCUGCUGAGGUUGUUUGGGGUCGGUGAAACAAGUACCAGCUUAGUUCUGGGGGUCAAGGUAAUUGACUAGCUCCCUCCCCCAAAAUUGCUGGCUUUGUGCCAAAAUUUGAAACCAAUACUGAUACACACACACACACACACACACACAUAAAUGUAUGUAUGUGUAUUUGUUUUUGUAUGUAAGUGUAUGCGUGUAUACAUAUUUGUAUAUAUCAUAUAUGUAUGUGUAUACAUGUAUGCAUAUUUAUAUGUAAGUAUAUUUGUGUGUGUGUGUAUGUACAUAUGUGUGUGUGUGUAUGUGUGUAUAUAUAUAUAUAUAUACACGUGCACACACACAUAUACACAUAUAUUUAUAUUUCUUUAUCAUCAGAAUAAUUAAUUUCUCAUACCUAUAUAAAACAUCCUUUCGCAUUCACUCAUAAUUAUUAAAUCAACCCAUUAUUCCAUAUUUGAUUGUCUUCUCUUUAUUAUUCAUCCUUACUCACAUCCAUAUUCUGGCUAAUUCUAUUUAUUUGCUUUCUUCCUUUUCUUGGCUCUGUAUCGCUCUAUAUUUUAUGAUCUAUUCACUCUGCCCCUUAUAUGUAUCCAUUUAACUGAUUUCUGGUUUUUCAAUAUGGUUUGAUGAAGCCAGAUUUUUAGCAAAACUUUGAAGUCACUGUCACCAUUUUAAUGUUGACAUAUAUAUGUAUAUAUAUGAUUUCUGUAGCAUAUCCUGUUAAUCAUCCCAUUGAUACAGAUUAUAACAAGAGACAUGGUAAGACACACACACACACACACAUUAGAGAUCCCUAUAAGUUUUUAUUGCUUUUUUUUUCUUAAGGGGUUAACAUAUACACAUCUCUUUUACUCUUUUACUUGUUUCAGUCAUUUGACUGCGGCCAUGCUGGAGCACCGCCUUUAGUCAAGCAAAUCGACCCCGGGACUUAUUCUUUGUAAGCCCAGUACUUAUUCUAUCGGUCUCUUUUGCCGAACUGCUAAGUAACGGGGACGUAAACACACCAGCAUUGGUUGUCAAGCAAUGCUAGGGGGACAAACACAGACACACAAACACACACGCACACACAUAUAUAUAUACAUAUAUACGACAGGCAUCUUUCAGUUUCUGUCUACCAAAUCCACUCACAAGGCAUUAGUUGGCCCGGGGCUAUAGCAGAAGACACUUGCCCAAGGUGCCACGCAGUGGGACUGAACCCGGAACCAUGUGGUUGGUUAGCAAGCUACUUACCACACAGCCACUCCUGCGCCUAUCUCUAGAAAAUUUGCAUGGAUUUUAAAGAUUUGGGGGGUUUUUUUUUGCUCUUUUGUGGGGCAAGACAGGAAGGAAAUGGAAGCGGCUUCAACUAGCUAUCAAUUACUGAAACCUUAAUUUCAUAUACAUCACUGGUUUCAUUGUUGUUAUUAACUAUAGAUGUGGAAUAAUUGUUUUUCUCUUUCUGCUCCUUUUCACACAAUAAACUAUGAUAUUUUGUUGAAUACUUUUCUCAAUGAUAUUCCAUUGCUUGUCGUUCCUCCACUUUCAAAUUGCUUUAUUCUUAUCUCAAAGGAUAAUGAUGACCUGUGUAUGAAUCAUAAGCUGCCCCUGCCACUCUUUCCCCUCCAAUUUCUUUGAAGUCACCAUGUUUAGUGAAGUCAAAGAAUUGCACUAUAACCUAUUGACUUUAAAAAAAUAGGAUACAUUGGAUCAUAUAAUUGUAGAUGCAGUAUGUCUGAAUGAGGGAUGGGAUGGCAAAGUCUAAAAUACUUCCGAUCAUAAGUUUACUCAAACAGGGCUGACUUGGGUUAACCACCAGCAGCAACGGCAACAAUAAUAAUAAUGGCUUCAAAUUUUGGUACAAGGCCAACAAAUUUAAGGGUGGAGGUAAGUUGGUUAUAUCAACCCCAAAUUGAUGGAAACCAAGUUUAGUCUCAGUGGCAUUUAAACUUAGAACAUAAAGAACCAAAAGAAAUGCCGCUAAGCAUAUUUUCUGACACUCUAAUGAUUCUUUUAGCUUGUCAUUUGAAUAAUAAUGAUAAUAAUUUGGGGGGGGGGAAGGAGAUGAGUUGAUUACAUCGACCCCAGUGUUCAACUGGUACUUAUUUUAUCGAUCCUGAAAGGAUGAAAGGGAGAGUCAACGUUGGUGAAAUUUGAACUCAGAAUGUAGCGAUGAGCGAAAUACCUCUAAGCAUUUUGUUCAAUGCGCUAAUGAUUCUGCCACCUCACCACCUUGAUAAUGAUAAUAAUAAUAAUAAUAAUAAUAAUAAUAAUAAUAAUAAUAAUAGUAGUUAGAAGAAAAAGAAAUAAGAAGAAAAAUUAGAUGGUGUGGGUGAUAGAAAUUGUAGAGUGUUAGACAAAAUGCUUUGCAAUAUUUAGCGCAUUGAAUAGUCAAGCUGGCAAAAUUGUUAGCAAUCUGGGCAAAAUGCGUAGUGGCAUUUUGUCCAUCUCUAUGUUCUGAGUUCAGAUUCCACUGGGGUCCACUUUGCCUUUCAUCCUUUUGAGGUUGAUGUAAUCGACUUGCCCCUUCCCCCAAAAUUGCUGGCUUUGUGCCAGAAUUUGAAACCAAUAUUUAGUUACAUUCAUUUAUGUACUGAUAGAAUUCAUAGAGGCUUAUCUGUAUUUCUCAUGAAAAGCUUUACACUUGGGUGCAGUUUUGGACACAUGGUUAAGAAGACUAAUUAUAAUUUGCUGCAAGUACCGUGAGAUGAAUUUAAAGCAUAUCUUCUCUUACAGCCUUAAACUUCGCCAUAAUGUAGUAAACCAUCACUUUUGCAUACCCUGAAUCAGCAAUGAUAGGAUGAGGGUUAUAUUAGCACAGUUCAUUUCAAUAAUAAUAUUUCAUUGCAGUGAUUAAUAGCUUCACAGUUUGUAAUAAGAAGUAUAACAAGCCAUUUCAUAUAAAACAUCAGCUCUUAAUUCAUGAUACUGUUUAACCCUUUAGCAUUCAGAUUACUCUGUCAAAUCUAAUGCUUAUUUAUUCACAUUGUUUUGAAUCAACCAUGCAUUGUCUCAUAGCUUCAAGAUUUCAAUAAUGUGAUUGCUUAUUUUUCAGAAUCACAUUGUGGGAUAGGUAUGAAAAGUUGGAUCUGGCCAAUUUGAGCAUAAAACAAGGAGAAUAUUUGGGCCGGAUAUGGCCGGUUUGAAUGCUAAAGGGUUAAGACAUAAUGCUUUGAUUAAAGUUUCAGUUUGAUAUUAUGUGUGUUUGUGUAAAUGAAAUGAAAAUGUGUUGCAAGAAAUAAUCUCUGAAUGAUCCGUAGCAUACAUUUGUACAACAAAGACAAAUAAAGCUAUAUUAAAUACCAUGCAAGAUAAAUUCUUGAUAUGCUUAAAUAAUCUUCACUUCUGGCGGAGAAACAACAAUUGCUUGGUGGUAUUUGGGACAGACUCUAAAUCUUAAUGAGAAGGGGGAGAUAAUCACAAGAAGCAAGAAUUGACAUGUUACUAUGGGAAAGAUAAUCUGAUUGUUUGGAAACAAAAGAACAGCUGUGGAUUUACGUCUCUGGCUCAAUAGGUGUAUAGUCAGUGCAGCAACUGGCCUACUUUGCCUCCAGUAAAACAAAAUAGUUAUGCAUGCACAAAAGAGUAGAACACGUUCGUUUAAGUAAUUUUCAUAACUGAAACAAUCUAUUCCAGUGAAUAUAUCAAUAAUAAUGAUGAUACAUAUAUGAAAUAUAAUAUUUAAUAUAGGCGCAGGAGUGGCUGUGUGGUAAGUAGCUUGCUAACCAACCUUCUGCUAUAGCCCCGGGCCGACCAAUGCCUUGUGAGUGGAUUUGGUAGGCGGAAACUGAAAGAAGCCUGUCGUAUAUAUGUAUAUAUAUGUAUAUGUGUGUGUGGUGUGUUUGUGUGUCUGCGUUUGUCUCCCUAGCAUUGCUUGACAACCGAUGCUGGUGUGUUUACGUCCCCGUCACUUAGCGGUUCGGCAAAAGAGACCGAUAGAAUAAGUACUAGGCUUACAAAGAAUAAGUCCCAGGGUCGAUUUGCUCGACUAAAGGCGGUGCUCCAGCAUGGCCGCAGUCAAAUGACUGAAACAAGUAAAAGAGUAAAAGAGUAAAAGAAUUUAUUAUUCUACUUCUGUACUACUAUGCUUCAAGUGAACUACAACAUUCUUCUUAUAUAUAUAUAUAUAUAUAUAUAAGACAAGAAAACAGAUAAAGCACCUAUCUCUUUAGCAAAAUGGCCCAGUUUGAUAUGUGGAAAAGAUGUUGGUAGACAUUCUAUACAAUAUAUCCAGUGCAAACUGUCUCUGGACAUAUGUAUCUCUCAUACAUCACCAUGUACUACCACCUGUCAUAUCCCUGUCCCAAUUCUAUUUCCUCUACUAUUUCCUCAUGCCAGCAUGGAAAAUAAAUAUUGAACAGUGAUGAUGAUGAUGAUGAUACCAUCAAUGAGGUUGAUGAUGAUAUUGAUGAGUGUGAUAUUGAUAAGGUUGAUGAUAUCGAUGAGGAUGAUGACAUCGAUGAGGUUGAUGAUGAUAUACAUAUGUGUGUGAUUGCCUAUGUAUUGCAUAUGUGUAUGUGUCUAUCUUUGUCUACAAUGUUAUUGUUCAUCAAUUGCAAUAUAUAAUUUUAAAAAUCAAACAGAAAUCUUACCUUUAUUGCUUUCCAACAUAAUACAUGUUACUAUUUUACUUGUUUGCAAAUGUUACUUGGCCAGAUGUGACUAACAGGUAUUGUUGUUUAGACCUAGGUUAGCCCUUUUUGAAUAGACAAAUAACCAAAAUGAAUUCAGUUAUGACCAUCACAUCUUUUAUUUAGAUGUAAUGUACCUAGAACUACACUGUCUAGUGAGCUUUUUCUAUAUUUGAGUGUGAUUUGAGGAAGAUUUGGUUGUUAUUUCUGGCAAAUCAACAAAGUUCUCAUUAGCUAAUGAUGUAGUUGUGGACAACUGUAAAUUCUGACCAAAAUAAACAAAAAUGUGUGAUAACAGUUUAAAUAGUUUUAAUUAUAUUUUCUACUGGGUGAUGAAUAUACCUGGGUCAAGUUAUGUUGACCACAAUAAAUUGAAGAUAUGAUACUAGGAAUCAUUUUUGUUGCCAAGAAAAUAAUACACAGAAAAGAUUACUCUGUUACCAAUGUAGAGAUGAACAUCGCGUUCUACAAUCCUGAUGGUGACACACGCAUGUGUGCGCGCACACACUCACACACACAUACACAUGCACACACACACAUGCACACACACACAUGCACACACAUGCAUGCACACACACACACACAUGCACACGUGUGCACAUACACACACAUGCACACACACACGCACACACACAAACACACACACACACGUGUGUUUGUGUGAUACUUGUAGUUGGUGGUAAGCCAACAAAGAAACCAAUAGAACAUAUCAUAUAUAUAUAUGUACCAGAUAGAAGUGUGUGUGUGUGUGUGUGUGUGUGCAUGCCUGUCAACCACUGUAAACAGUGUCAGGUGGUAAUCUUCCCUAUGCCAGAUCUUCAGUACUCCUCUAUGUUAGCUUUUUCACCACAGAGACCAGAAACACCUGUCUAAGUUAUUGAUCGAUCAGAAAAGUUAAUAGUGUAAGAUAGUUUAGGUGCCAGUUUUUCUGACUUAUUGGUACACGUGUGGUGUACCAAUUGAUUGAUUCAAAAAGUAAUGAAGGUUUGGCUCAGCUGAAAUUAAGCUGUCAACCUGUGGAGUUACUGAUAUGCUUCAUCUAAUUUACUUCAGAUUCUCAGAUUCUUAGAAGCAGUCUUAUAUUAAAUAUGAGUAAUUGUGAGAAAGAAACAUAGGGACAAAAUUACUGUACAAUAUAUAUAUAAUAAUCUGCAUCUAACAUAGGCGCAAGAGUGGCUGUGUGGUAAGUAGCUUGUUUACCAACCACAUGGUUCUGGGUUCAGUCCCACUGCAUGACACCUUGGGUAAGUGUCUUCUGCUAUAGCCUCGGGCCGACCAAAGCCUUGUGAGUGAAUUUGCUAGACGGAAACUGAAAGAAGCCCGUCAUAUAUAUGUAUAUGUAUAUAUAUAUGUGUGUGUGUGUGUUUAUGUGUCUGUGUUUGUCCCCCUAGCAUUGCUUGACAACCGAUGCUGGUGUGUUUAUGUCCCCCGUUACCUAGCGGUUCGGCAAAAGAGAACCGAUAGAAUAAGUACUGGGCUUACAAAAGAAUAAGUCCCGGGGUCGAGUUGCUCGAUUAAAGGCGGUGCUCCAGCAUGGCCGCAGUCAAAUGACUGAAAUAAGUAAAAGAGUAGAAGAGUAAGAGUAACACUCUAAAUCUCAAUGAAGAUUUAGAAUGUUAGAAAUACAUAUAAGUUUAAAAUAUUUUGAUUUGCUUCAUUUCAAAGAAAAACCAAACGUGUGUAUACAAAAUCUGUACAUGCAUGCAUUAUUAUUUUAGUGUCACGGAUGAAAUAGAGACGGAUAAAAUAUGUAGUUUUGGGCCUUUACAAUCUAACUUUCAAAACCCAUGACAGUUGACUUUGACCUUUGUUCUUCAGGUGUCAGUAAGUUAAGUACUGAGUUGGGAUAGUUUCAAUUGACUAUUCUCAUUCCCUCAAAAUUUAUAGUUUUGUGCCUAAAUUACAAGUCAUUAAUUUUACAUUAGCAGAUAGGGUAAAUUGCUGAACUGCUUUACAAUAAUUAGUUACAUCCUUUACAUUUUGAGUACACAUACCUUUAAAGGCCAAUGUUACUCUUUAUCCUUUUAGUUACUUACUACAUCAAUUAAAUCAAGUCUACUCCCUUUCACCUAAAAUUUUAACUCUGUGCCUCUGAUUAAAAUCAUUAUCUUUUUAGAAUCUUCACAUUCAGUUUGAAUAUGAAUUCAUAUAUUUCACACACACAUAAUUUUUUUUCAGUACAUAGGUGCAGGAAUGGCUGUAUGGUAAGUAGCUUGCUUACCAACCACAUGGUUUUGGGUUCAGUCCCACUGUGUGGCACCUUGGGCAAGUGUCUUCUACUAUAGCCUCGGGCCAACCAAAGCCUUGUGAGUGGAUUUGGUAGACGGAAGCUGAAAGAAGCCCGUCAUAUAUAUAAUAAUAAUAAUAAUAAUAAUAAUAAUUGUGUACAGUGCUCAGGUGCACUACAUAUACAUAUGUAUAUGUAUGUGUGUAUCUGUGUUUGUCCCUCCACCCACCCACCCAAUAUCAUUUGACAACCGAUGCUGGUGUGUUUACGUCUCCGUUACUUAGUGGUUUGGCAAAAGAGAUGGAUAGAAUAAGUACUAGGCUUACAAAAUGUAAGUCCUGGGGUUGAUAUGCUCGACUAAAGACGGUGCUCCGGCAUGGCCACAGUCAAAUGCCUGAAAGAAGUAAAAGAAGGAGUAUAUAUAACAUAUAGCUAAUAAAAUAAAUCUUUAUGAAAAUCUAUAUUAACUAAGGAUUAUUUAAAUAGCAGAUAAAUAUUUAUAAAUCAAAUAAUACUUUCACAUUAACAACAAAGAUUUUGAUUACAAUAUUUUUUAAGGGUUUGGAUGGGUACAAUUUUCUGAUUCCAGUAUAAUUCUAGUAUUUAUUUCAUUGAUUCUGGCAAGGUGAAAAUAAAAUUACUUGCUGCUUUAUUUGAACUUGGAACCAUCAGAGAUGAAAGUAAAAACAGCAAAACAUUUUGUGUGUAGUUUUAUUGUCUUAGCAAAAUUCACUGCUCUGUGUAUUGACACCUACUGAAAAUAGCAUUGAAAAUAAUCUUUAAUGCAUGAGUAUUAAUUCUAUUGUAUGUGUGAGGCAGGUGGUUAGAUAGGGUGUGUGUAUGUGUGUAUAUACACUCACUCAAGUAUGUAUGUAUAUAUAUAUAUGUAUGUAUGUAUGCACACAUGUAUGUAUGUAUAUGUAUGUAUAUAUAUAUAUAUAUAUAUAUAUAUAUAUAUAUAUAUAUAUAUAUACAUACAUACACACACAUAUACACACAUACACAUACAUGUACACAGAAAAUGUGAGUGAGAGAGAGGGAGAUGAUUUUAUCUUUAAUAAGCUUUUAAAACUAUUAGGAGGCUAACUAAUCUAAAAUCAAUCUAACAUUAUCUUAAUCUAACCUUUAAAUUCAGCAUGUUCUUUAAUUUAAUUAGAGGAAUUCCUCAAAGGAAUUUUGAUGUAAAGAAUAUUAAAUUUCAUUAGUUAAAAAAUGUAUAAAAAUCAGAAUUUUUAAAACAGAAUAACAAAGCAUUUUGGAUGUUAAAAUAGUUUCCAUAUUAUUAAUUUCUCUUUGAUUUAUCUUUAACACAUAAACUCACUAGUGUUGUAAAUCAAGUAAAACAGUUACCAUUAUUUGAUAUAAUAUAAUUAAUGGCAGUUUUUAAUAAGAUUGAAAUAAAAAUUGAUUUCUUUAGUCCGUGCUGGUUUACUCAUAUAUACUAAAUAUAUUACUCACAUAUAAUAUAUGUUUCUAGAGUAGGGACUUCAAGGUGUAAAAAGAAUUCAGAUUUCAUAUAAAUAUGGGCAUGGAUUCACUGAAGCUCCGGCAUCUGGCGAUGGACUUGGUAGACACCCACAAAGUUAUCAACCACCUCACCAACAACAACACUGAACACCUUUUUGAUCUCCAUUUGUCUAACACACGUGGACAUGCCUACAAAGUCAGAAAACAACACAGCUCCCAUGACUUUCGGAAACAUUUUUUCACGCUCAGAGUUGCUGAAGCAUGGAACAAACUGCCUGCGUCAGUUGUUGACUGCCAUGACACUGCAUCCUUUAAGGCCCUCAUGCUUUCUGAAAUCUGCCGAAACUACACCUGAUUAUAUAUACACUUUAGAUGAGUUGUAGUGCACCUGAGCACUGUACACAAUGUUUUUUAUUAUUAUUAUUAUUAUUAUUAUUAUUAUAAAAGAAGUUUAUAAACAGAAUGAUUUGCUGAUGUCAAGUUUAAAUUUAGUAAAAAUUUCAUAUUUAAUAGGUCACUCUAUGUAUGCAGAGAAAAAAUAUAUAUUCAUUUGUUUAUACUUUUUUCUAAGGAUAUUUUUCCAUGCUAAUAUAGGUUAGAUCAGUAUUUCUUAACCAUAUUUUUUAUAGUCUUUUAAGUAGUUGUUAUGACUAGUGCCCAUGUAGGUGGUAAGAUAACAUGACUAAACUAACUUAACUUGGAUGAUCAUUUAUAAGUUCUACUCUAAACUGGAUUGUAUAAGCUUUUAACAGUGAGAUGAUAAAAUAUUAAUAAAGACAAAAAUCGUAAAUUUACUUUAUACAUCACUAGUUAAUGACUUCCCUGUGCCUGUUCAGAUCUCAUUUAAUUACCAUCAUUAGUUUUAUCAUGUUUAAUAUAAUUACUCCUAUAGGAGUGUGUUAAUUAUGUUACCUUACUGUCCCCUAAAACCUAAUGUCCACUUCAACAUGUCUAGUACUCCCUUGGGUGUGCUACUGCCCAUGUUGAGAACUGAUGGGUUACAUGAAUAUGUCCCUUAUCCAACUCAUGCUACACACACACAAUUUACCAAGGUAGUUCUAGCAAAUUAGACAUGGCCGGUACGGUCUGAAACACAUCUAAGUUUUAUAUAUAUAUAUAUAUAUAUAUAUAUAUGUAAAUAUAGUAAGUGUAGAAAUUAAUAUUAUUAAAUAAUAUCAAUUUCAGCCAAUGGUCAGCAUACUUAAAAAACGUUCAAAGACCAUGAAUUAUAUUUAAAUAUAAAUAAGAGGAGAGACCACUAAGUGGAUCCCUUGUAUGCUAAAGAUAGAUGUCUAUUUUUAGCAGACAACGGAUCCACUUAGUGGUCUCUCCUCUUAUUUAUAUAUAUAUAAUCGGUCGAUAAUUCAUAAAUCCCAAAAGAAGCACGCUCUAAAACUUUAGACCUGUAAUACUUAGAAGGUUCUUUAUUAUGGCUGUUCAGAGAGUGACUGUUGUUGGUUUUGCACCUAUGAAGCUCUUCAUCAUCAUCAUUGUUCGACCGUGGUCGAGACAAUGGAAUUUACCAUGCUACGCCAGACUUCACGGUCCAUCAUGGCAUUAUGGAGGUCCUGUUGCUGGAUGCCUGUAUCCCUGGAGAUUACAUCAGGUAGGAGAAUGUGCACCCUCUGGUAUUGUGAGUAGAUGGCUUCCAGAGGAGAAGAGUAGAAAUUACCUCUUUUUCAGCUCUACAACAAUGUCCAGCAAACUGGACUCUCUUACCUUUCACAUGAAGCUCUUAGUGGCAUAAGUAACUUGUCAAACUCUUUGCUCAGUACCUCCAGUCAAUGAGUCACCUAUGCCACUGAGAGAUUUAUAGGCGUGAAAUUAAUGGUUACUCUCUAGCUGGCCAUAACAAACAAUGUUCUUUAUAUAUAUAUAUACACACACACACACACACACAUACAUAAAACAUGAAACUUAGAAAUGUUUCAACCAGAAUUGGCCCUAUCCAAUAACACUAUCUUGUAAAAUUCUUUGAAUUAUGAUUAGGUUAUGUUUUGUGUCACCAUAGCCCACUCAAGUAAGGAGCUGUUUAAUUGUAAAGCAAUACAAACAAAAUAUGAGGAUACCAAAAGUGUUAUGCUUAGCGUCCCAUAUCAACGUAUGUAGAUAUGGGACAUUCAUGUUCGUGUGAAACAUUUUACUAUUGUUGUUUUGUAAGUAUAAAUUCAGUACAUAUAGUACUGUAUAUAUAUAUAUAUAUAUAUAUAUAUAUAUAUAUAUAUACAGUAUAGUACUGUAUAUAUUACUUAUGACUAGUGGUAUCUUUUCUGCAAUAGUUUUCAUGUUAUUCAUCAAACAUGAUAUGAUUGAUUGAAAGAUAGAUAAUUUUUUGCUUACACAUUACAUUAUGAAAAAUAUAUUAUUAUAAUCAGGAAAACAGACCUAAAAUACAUUAUUCAAAUUAUGCGACAUGGCAUUGUUCAUGUUUAAUAUUCAUUUUUCAGUUUCUUCUAAAUGUUAGCUAUUUAUAAAAUUUUCCAACUUCAUAAUCAAAUGAAUGCAGACUAAAUAAUUUUAUGGACAAAAAAUUAAACUUUGCAAAAUUUCAUACAAUCUCUUAAUUGAUCUAAUCUAGCCUGUCAUAAUAUAUGAAAGUGUCAUUAAACUAUAUAGCAGUAGUUGCUUUGCAAAUAUAAUUUUCUUCUAUAUUCACCAGUGUGGUGUACUCUGUGUUACAUAUGUUGUUCGUUCACAAUAUUUCUUUAGGGGUGUGGCUUUAAUUUAUGAUGAGCGAAUAUCUCAUAAAACUUGCUGCCAGUAGAAGGUUGCCCAUACCUGACAUACAUGCUCUUUUAUUAACAAUCUUUUGAUGUUCUUUAUAGAAGUGAAUGUAUAAAAUUUUAAUAUUACAUGAAAGUAGUGCUCUAACUUAGUCAUAGACCUGAGGUCUCUAGAUUAAGGUGCAUGGCUACAUUUCACUCUUUGUUGGAAAAGGAAAGGCAUAAAUACAUGAACAUUUUAUUUCAUUUCUUCACAUUAGAUAAAAAAGAUUAGGCAAAAUGUUUAUUGCAAGGUCUUGAGUGUUUGAUGAAAGUAAGUGAGGUAGCUUUGGAGACUUUAGCAUGCUAAUUGUUAUUUAAUCCUAAUCCAGCCUUGAUCAAAUAGAUUUGUGAUCAAAACAUUCUUGAUAUGGACAUUAAUUCUUUUAAGAUGUAUGUAGGAUUAUAUUAACCAAUGAAUUGUUUUUUUAAGACAGUUGGAUGUGACCUGAGGGGGAUAUGAGUGCUAUUUCUAGCUGGUUGAGUGAUAAUUAGAGAUACCCUCAUUGGGUUGCUAGUUUACAGAAGCAGAAGCUGUUGUAGUAGUAGAGAUAGAAGAAGCAGAGAGGAGAAACAGUAUCUCCCUAAACCUGUGUUUGCAGCAUGUUGGUAUGUAAAUCAUUGACAAAUAUGCUGGAUGACCUUUCUCUUUAAAAUAUGAUCUAGAAUGCAUGUGUGUAGAGAGUGUAGCUGUAGCAGCUGUUUCCCUAAUAUGUGAACAGUAUCCCAAUGUGGAUCAGAUAUGAGCUCUAUAAAGAGUCAGAAAGGGACAAACUCUGAAGAAUUUUCAUGCUCUGAAGUGGAAGUAUAGUAUUUGGAAUGUAAUUUUUAACAAUAUCAGACCUAUUCAGUAACUUUAUUACUAUUGAAAAUAAUGAUUUUUUGUCAACAGAAAUGAUAAGUGUGAUAAUUAAAACUUCAAGAUGAACAUUGAAAAUCUAAUAACAUCUGAUUAUAUGACAUAUUCUUAAUGUAAAUUCAGGUUUGAGAAUUAUUUCAAAAUUAGAUUUUAAAUAGAUUCUGUAUUUUCUGCAUAAAGAAACAAGUAGAAAAUCAUAUUUUGAUAUAUUUUUAUUUAUAUCGCUUGACAACUAUACUUCAUGUGUGUAUGAGUCUAUCAGUAUAUGGUUUAAUGUGUCUGCCCAUCUGUGUAUAUAUAAUUCUGUAUAUUAAUAAGUUGUCUUUUAUGAAAUUUCUUCAAAUUUCUUGUAAUUUUAAAUUGUGUUCACUCACAUAUGGCUUUGAAUUCAAAUAUACUGUUUGUGUGUGUGUGUGUGUGUGUGUGUACAAGGUCAUCGUUUUCCCUUUGGGGUCUAAACUAUUGGACUACUUUUAUUCUAUGGCUUUGUAUUGCAAUGAAAUGAGUAUUCACAUUUAUAUAUUCUUCUACAAAGAAAAGAAUAAAAACAACCUGAUCUAAAAAUGAUUAAAUAACACCUAAAAUGUCUUGACUGCUGAAGUUGACAUUAAUGGAAGAUGAUAGUUUUAAUCUAGUAUCUAUUUGUUUUUAUAUUUUGUUAAUAUUGUCAUGUUGGCAAAGACUAGGUCUUAGGUUUUUGAUUAUGCCAUAUUUCAAGCAAGAAUAUCCACUAAACUACUAUCAGUUAUUUGUUGUUUGACUUUAUUUUCUUUGGUGGCAGAAGAACCCUUCAGAUCAUUUAUUGUGUUUAGUUAACUUUUUUGUACUUUGGUAGGCUUUGUGGUUAAGAUCACUUUACAUCCACAUAGUUUUGGCAAUCCCACUGCAUGGCUACUUUACCAAAUUCCCUUUAAUAUAGGCUCAAGCUAAAUAGUGCCUUGUGAGCAAAUUUGGUUGACAGAAUGAGUAAUAAGCCAGUCAUGUGCACACAUGCUUGUGAGUGUGAAUAUACAUGAUUAUUGAUAUUUUGCUUGUCACUGUUUAAGCAAAGAGGUGGUAAUGUUGACAUUAUGACUACUCGCAAUACCAGAGGGCGCACACUCUCCUACCCUGAUGUAAUCUCCAGGGAUACAGGCAUCCAGCAACAGGACCUCCGUAAUGCCAUGAUGGACCGUGAAGUCUGGCGUAGCAUGGUAAAUUCCAUUGUCUCGACCACGGUCGAACAAUGAUGAUGAUGAUGACUGGUUGCUCUGUGCUUUAGACUUAUGGAGUAUAAAAACCUAAAAGACAGGUAAAGGCUGGAUACAGGAGAAGCAUCAGGCAUGAAAUCAUAAAGUCCUGUAUCAGAAUCAGUUCUUCUCCAAGUCAUGCUGGCAUGGAAAAAACUGGUUACUAAAUGAAUGACCACACAGUUGAGCAAAGUCACUAAAAGAGAGAUGUACAUCAUUUUCCAUUGAAUUUUCAAGUCCGGUUAACACAAAAUGUUAGCAGGAACUUUAAAGUACAAACCAAAGUUGUGUCUGAACAGAUGCCAAUGAGAUGUAGUUAUUUUCAGUCACUCCUUUUGUGAAGCUGUAUGUUCCUGAUUUCGUUUAGUUAAUGAACGUAGGGGGAAAAAUGUAUCUAUUUGCAAUGGAAAGAAUCCAGCAUUUUCAUCUCACACUGUUAUUUUCUGUUUAUCUAAUUUAUAAAGUAGCUUAGGUCAUACAAAUACAUUAUAGAUGCACAAACGAAACUUUCUGCUCACACGAUUUUAUCAGAACUUCAGAGAUCACAUGGACUAAUUUAGUAGUAUCUACAAUUAAAUUAUAUGAAGUAUAUUUUCCUAGAUAUUGUUUUUAGCAGUCAGAAAUUAAAACAAAAAGAAUGAACAAAUAGCUACUGAAAUAGAGUUAUGUGAAAGAUAAACCAAAUUAGUGUUAGAAAAACUGUAAUUCAGUUUAAGCUCACACUAUUUACCUUCAAAAUAUUGAGGUAAAAAUAGCACAAUUUUAAAAGAAAUGAUAAAGAAAACAGAUUUAAAUAUAGCUACCUCACUCCUACAUUAUGGAAGUAUUGCAUUCUUGGAAAUCUUGCCAUAAUAUGGAAUUCUAAAUGACAUUCUUACUCCCUCGUAUGGAUGUCAAUGGACAACUGAUUUCACAUAAUGGAAUAUUAUGUUACAGCAAGGUUUUUCAGAAGUGAAGCCUAUAGUUAAUAUGUGAGUGUGAGACUGUAGUAUAACUAGUAACACAGUCACUAGGCAAGUGGUUUUGAAUUCUAUCAGUGGGUCUGUUGAUUUUUUUUUUUUUUCAUAUCUUAUACCAACUUGUAGGUAUGGAGUAUAUAUCAGUUUUCUUACAUCUCACCACGAAACACAUAUAUACUUCCAUAAUACCAGCACUCUUCUAAAAUAUUCCUAUGCUUUACAGAAGCCUAUGGAGUUUCUGUUAAGGUGCUGAUGGCAACAUAAAGCUGUUGAAGGAUCAAAGCUCUUUUCAAACCCCACUUCCUGCAGUUUUCUGUUAUCUAAGCCUCUAAUAUAUAGAAAAUGCACAUGUUCAUGUUACAGGAAUGAAGAUGUAUCAACUUCAUAAUAGCUGGAAUAUAUUUAAGAAUGACUCUCCUACCUCACUCUUUUCUCUUCAUGAUUAUCAUGCCCACCUCUGCACUAACAACUACAUCCAUUCUCUCCUGUCUAGAAUGUUUACCUUCUGGAAUUCUUUAUUUGCCUGUAUUUUCCUAUGGCUAGAAACUUUAAAAUAUUUGAGAGAAACAUUUACUAAAUCACAUCAGUAUCAAAGGACUUGUAUUCUUGAAACUCUUCACACUAAAUCAAUAAAAAAAAGAGCCUCCUUUAUAGAUGUACUAGCAGUAUCGCCCGGCAUUGCUCGGGUUUGUAAGGGAAAUAACUAUAUAAGCAUUUUUAGAGAUGUAAAGUAUAAUAGCCAUCUCAAUAUGGCUAACCACAAAGGGGAGGGGGUGUUACUGUAGCUUUUUACGUUCUGAGAUUUAAUAAUAAAUUUUUAGAGAGUUACUUCCCUUAUAUAUGCCAAAAAUGCAUUAAAAAUGGGAAAAAUUGAUGGUAAAUUUUUUUUAAAAUCGUAGACUCAUCGUAGACACACGCUAAUACCCAAGAAGGGCUCGAUAUGAAUCACAACUAUAAGAUACCCGGUUUUGGUUAAACUGCACCGCAAAAUGUGGGAGUAGUUAGGAAUCUAAAUCGUAGGAGACAGACAGCACACAACCUCUCUUUUAUAUAUAAAGAUUACUUAAUUCUAA